ACUGGCCAUUCACCCGAGUCGCCCGCUUGUGCUAUCAGCAUCCAACGACAGCUUAAUCAAGCUAUGGAACUGGAAGACUGACUGGUCAAAUCAAGUUUAACCCGCUGGAAGGAAACACUUCCGCAAGUGCUUCAAAAGAUGGCACAACAAAGAUCUGGUGUUGUUCUUCUCCCGUUCCUAUUGCUACAUUGGACUGUGAUGGUGGGCUGAUAUGUGUUGAUUAUUUUUCCCAUGGUGGUGAUCGACAAUAUGUGGUUACCGGAUCCGACAAUGGGGUUGCACAGAUUUGGGAUUUGCGGACAAAGAAAUGUAUCCAAGAACUCGAGGGACUCCGACAUAUGUCUGGGGUCAAUGUUGGUGUGAUCGAUGGCAUGCAAGGGCAUCCUGUUCUAAUAACAUCUUCAGAUGAAUAUGCUAUUUCUUUGCGCAACUACAACACCUAUGGGUAUGAGAGAACGAUGGACUUUAAGCUCGAUAGGGUUCGUGGUGGUUUUGCUUUCAUUAAGGCCAUAAAAAGCCUGGUGAUUGGAUUUGACGAUGGAUUUGCAAUAGUGGAAAUGAAUUAAUUUGGCACUAAAGAUUGUGCUACUGUUGAAAGAAAAUAGCGGCUGAAUAAAAGUGGUGCCAUGGAUGAUAUUGCAACAACGGGAAACUCAAGAAAUUGGUGCAGAGUCUAUGCAUGUUGUGUGUGCGUUAGACUGUUAUGCAUCUCUAUCAAAGACGUUAUAUUUUUGUUUCUACAAAAAAUGCUCCCUUUAUUUGUACUGUACUGCCAAUCUGUGUUGUGUGCUUGUUGCGUUGUGACGGUCAUGACAUUCUCUGUUAGCAGCGAGCUAGAAGAGAUGAAAAGCAAGCAGUGUUACUAGUACACCAUGUUUGGUAUGUGGCAAUAUUUUGUUGUAAUCAAAUGUUAUAUGCUAUAAAUAGGUUUGGUAUU